CAACAUUCUACCACCUCACUACCAAAAUGCUGAUUCAAACUGGAAGGGCCACAUCUGCUUUAUAAACGCCAAAAUACCUCAAGAAGCAAGGUUGUCAUUGAGGGACAGUGAAGCAAGUUGAUCCGCUGGGCUAUUAGCCUGUUGAACAUUCCCCAGGACCUCCAUAGCUUCGGCCACCUUUGCUUUCAAAGCAUCUGGUGAUUCAAGCAAGUGUAAAACCUCUGUCUGGUCCAUCUCCAGAAGCAUGCCUGUAACUUUUGCAGC
rnacentral:lncRNA from 1 species